rnacentral:rRNA from 1 species
GAUGAACGCUGGCGGCGUGCCUAAUACAUGCAAGUCGAGCGAACGGACGAGAAGCUUGCUUCUCUGAUGUUAGCGGCGGACGGGUGAGUAACACGUGGAUAACCUACCUAUAAGACUGGGAUAACUUCGGGAAACCGGAGCUAAUACCGGAUGAUAUUUUGAACCGCAUGGUUCAAAAGUGAAAGACGGUCUUGCUGUCACUUAUAGAUGGAUCCGCGCUGCAUUAGCUAGUUGGUAAGGUAACGGCUUACCAAGGAAACGAUGCAUAGCCGACCUGAGAGGGUGAUCGGCCACACUGGAACUGAGACACGGUCCAGACUCCUACGGGAGGCAGCAGUAGGGAAUCUUCCGCAAUGGGCGAAAGCCUGACGGAGCAACGCCGCGUGAGUGAUGAAGGUCUUCGGAUCGUAAAACUCUGUUAUUAGGGAAGAACAUAUGUGUAAGUAACUGUGCACAUCUUGACGGUACCUAAUCAGAAAGCCACGGCUAGCUACGUG